GAUGAAGAACGUAGCGAAAUGCGAUACUUGGUGUGAAUUGCAGAAUCCCGUGAACCAUCGAGUCUUUGAACGCAAGUUGCGCCUCAAGCCAUUAGGUUGAGGGCACGUCUGCCUGGGCGUCACAUAUCGUUGCCUGAUGCCAGUUUCCUCGUGAUGGGUGACUGUGCAGGGCGAAUGAUGGCUUCCCGUGAGCAUUGUUGCCUCAUGGUUGGUUGGAAAUUGAGUCCUUGGUAGGGAGCGCCGUGAUAGAUGGUGGUUGAGUGACGAACGAGACCCAAUCAUGUGAGACCCCUACCGAAUUUGGCCUUCAUGACCCACAUGCGUCUUUGGAACGCUCAUGACGAGACCUCAGGUCAGGCGGGGCUACCCGCUGAGUUUAAGCAUAUCAAUAAGCGGAGGA
rnacentral:misc_RNA from 1 species